AUGAACGCUGGCGGCGUGCCUAACACAUGCAAGUCGAGCGAAGCGAUUUAACGGAAGUUUUCGGAUGGAAGUUAAAUUGACUGAGCGGCGGACGGGUGAGUAACGCGUGGGUAACCUGCCUCAUACAGGGGGAUAACAGUUAGAAAUGACUGCUAAUACCGCAUAAGCGCACAGCAUCGCAUGAUGCAGUGUGAAAAACUCCGGUGGUAUGAGAUGGACCCGCGUCUGAUUAGCUAGUUGGUGAGGUAACGGCUCACCAAGGCGACGAUCAGUAGCCGACCUGAGAGGGUGAUCGGCCACAUUGGGACUGAGACACGGCCCAAACUCCUACGGGAGGCAGCAGUGGGGAAUAUUGCACAAUGGGGGAAACCCUGAUGCAGCAACGCCGCGUGAGUGAAGAAGUAUUUCGGUAUGUAAAGCUCUAUCAGCAGGGAAGAAAAUGACGGUACCUGACUAAGAAGCCCCGGCUAACUACGUGCCAGCAGCCGCGGUAAUACGUAGGGGGCAAGCGUUAUCCGGAUUUACUGGGUGUAAAGGGAGCGUAGACGGCGAAGCAAGUCUGAAGUGAAAGCCCGGGGCUUAACCCCGGGACUGCUUUGGAAACUGUUUUGCUAGAGUGCUGGAGAGGUAAGUGGAAUUCCUAGUGUAGCGGUGAAAUGCGUAGAUAUUAGGAGGAACACCAGUGGCGAAGGCGGCUUACUGGACAGUAACUGACGUUGAGGCUCGAAAGCGUGGGGAGCAAACAGGAUUAGAUACCCUGGUAGUCCACGCGGUAAACGAUGAAUGCUAGGUGUUGGGGAGCAAAGCUCUUCGGUGCCGUCGCAAACGCAAUAAGCAUUCCACCUGGGGAGUACGUUCGCAAGAAUGAAACUCAAAGGAAUUGACGGGGACCCGCACAAGCGGUGGAGCAUGUGGUUUAAUUCGAAGCAACGCGAAGAACCUUACCAGGGCUUGACAUAUAGAUGAAUAUAUAAGAGAUUAUAUAGCUCUUCGGAGCAUCUAUACAGGUGGUGCAUGGUUGUCGUCAGCUCGUGUCGUGAGAUGUUGGGUUAAGUCCCGCAACGAGCGCAACCCUUAUCCUUAGUAGCCAGCAGUAAGAUGGGCACUCUAGGGAGACUGCCAGGGAUAACCUGGAGGAAGGUGGGGAUGACGUCAAAUCAUCAUGCCCCUUAUGAUUUGGGCUACACACGUGCUACAAUGGCGUAAACAAAGGGAAGCGAAGCCGCGAGGUGAAGCAAAUCCCAAAAAUAACGUCCCAGUUCGGAUUGUAGGCUGCAACUCGCCUGCAUGAAGCUGGAAUCGCUAGUAAUCGCGAAUCAGAAUGUCGCGGUGAAUACGUUCCCGGGUCUUGUACACACCGCCCGUCACACCAUGGGAGUCGAUAACGCCCGAAGUCAGUGACCCAACCGCAAGGAGGGAGCUGCCGAAGGCGGGAUUGAUAACUGGGGUG
rnacentral:rRNA from 1 species